UCAUGCAAGCCUUAAAACCUAGGAAUGAUGGUUGUGUGACUUGCUUGUGCUUGUUAUUUACCUAACAUCAUAACAUCAUAACAUCAUGGCAUUGUACUAACCAUUUCGAGGACUCAGGGAUUUAACUUUGCUCUGUUUUGUAUGAAAAAAAAAAACAAAAAAAAAACAAAAAAAAGUUUCCCUUUUCGGUAGUCUAUACAAAGUUAAAUUCCAAAAGGCCUUGAAAACAUUUCAUACAUUGCAUAGCAUAACAUAACAUUGCAUAACAGAUACUCUAAAGGGAUCAGUGUUCUCACGGUUUCCCUCCAAACAGAAAAAUGGAUCUCGAACAAACUGUCAAAGAUCUCCAGACUCAGAAUGCUCAAUUC
rnacentral:lncRNA from 1 species